GGGCGGGCGGGGGUGUGUGUGUGUGUUUCGGGUGANNNNNNNNNNNNNNNNNNNNCCGCCACGGCUCCCCGGGGGCUGCGGCCGUCGGGCCCCGCGCCACCGCUCCCCUCGUCGCCCGGCAGGACGGGCCGGCUGCAGCCCUUCUCAUCUCCCUUCGGCUCUCUUCGGCUCCAGCCAGGCAAAGCGACUCCCGCUCGGCUUCGCUCUUCCCCUCCUCGUCCGCAGGGAACGCGCUUCUCUCCGUUCCCCGCAGGGCUCCCGUCGCCGCCUCCCGCUCGCCUUGCCGUGCCGCGCUCCUCUCCGCGCCCGGCUCCAGCCGCCUCCAGCCCCGCUCUCAUCCCGUCCCGCACCGGCCCUCUCGCUGCCAGAGGCGUGCGGCGCUGCUCGCCGCGGGCAUCGCUCCCGCGGCUCGGAAAGACGUCUCCUUUCCUCUUGCUCUUCGCCACCGUUUGCUGUCUUCUCCGCUUUCUUUUCACUCCCUUUCAGUCAAGAACGGCAUCCCUACAGAUUUCUCCUCCUGUUCUCUCGGUACAGCUAUGCUCCCUCUCAGUUCCUUUCUCAUUAAUAAACCAUCCCUCACCCUCACCCUGACCUGGGUCCAUUUCACCCAUAAAUUUCUCUCCUCCGGUGUCUCCCCUCUCGGCUGCCCACCGCCACUUAUCCGCGGUAGCUCCCUCCCGGCUCCGGGGACACCCCCGGCCGUCCCCACACCAGCACCGCCCGCCACUGCCGGCGGCUCCCACGGGGACCAACUCAUAUUGAUUCUGCUGUUGAUUUAAAAUCAGAAAAUAAUCCCGCCAGCUUUGAUACUCCAUGCCAGACGUGCAGCCACAAAAAAGACGGGUCCAGUUUCAUGGGACACGCGUGUACCCCCGUACCCGCGCGUGGGGGGCGCAGCCCGACUGUGACACCAGAGUGGCGAGCACGACAGCCUCAGACGGCUACGGAUUUAUCCCGAGGAUCAUAUCCGCCCCUUUUCUCUCCGAAGUAGAUAUUUUUAAAAGUUGUGGUCUGCACCCAAACUCUCCCCCGACCCCCUAGGUAUCACGUCGCCCCAGCAGGCGCUGCCUCUACAGAAAAGUUUAAAGCACAUCAGGACGUGGCGUUCG
rnacentral:lncRNA from 1 species